UCGGUUCUUACCAGGCAAGACAU
rnacentral:miRNA from 1 species